CCUACGGGAGUCAGCAGUAGGGAAUAUUGCUCAAUGGGGGAAACCCUGAAGCAGCAACGCCGCGUGGCGGAUGAAGGUUUUCGGAUUGUAACCUCCUUUUGUUAGAGAAGAUACUGACGGUAUCUAACGAAUAAGCACCGGCUAACUCCGUGCCAGCAGCCGCGGUAAUACGGAGGGUGCAAGCGUUACUCGGAAUCACUGGGCGUAAAGAGCGCGUAGGCGGGAUAGCAAGUCAGAUGUGAAAUCCUAUGGCUUAACCAUAGAACUGCAUUUGAAACUGUUAUUCUAGAGUAGGGGAGAGGUAGGUGGAAUGCUUGGUGGAGGGGUACAAUCCGUAGAGAUCAAGAGGAAUACUCAUUGCGAAGGCGACCUGCUAGAACAUAACUGACGCUGAUGCGCGAAAGCGUGGGGAGCAAACAGGAUUAGAUACCCGUGUAGUC
rnacentral:rRNA from 1 species